UCCCGCUUAACGCGGGCAGUCCCAUUAGAAAAAUACAACUAAUGGCGAGGGUUGCGCUCGUUAUCGGACUUAACCGUACACCUCACGGCACGAGCUGACGACAACCAUGCAGCACCUGUCUUCCCGUUCCCUUGCGGGCACUUCCCUGUUUCCAGAGCGUUCGGGAGAUGUCAAGUCUUGGUAAGGUUCCCCGUUUACCGUCGAAUUAAACCACAUGCUCCACCGCUUGUGUGGAUCCCCGUCAAUUUCUUUGAGUUUUAACCUUGCGGUCGUAGUCCCCAGGCGGGAUACUUAAUGCGUUAGCUUCGGCACAUAGGGGGUCGAUGCCCCAUACGCCUAGUAUCCAUCGUUUACAGCGUGGACUAC
rnacentral:misc_RNA from 1 species